UACGGGGGGGGCAAGCGUUGUUCGGAAUUACUGGGCGUAAAGGGUUCGUAGGUGGCCUACUAAGUCAUACGUGAAAUCCCUCAGCUUAACUGGGGAACUGCGUCUGAGACUGGAAGGCUUGAGUGCAGGAGAGGAACGCGGAAUUCCAGGUGUAGCGGUGAAAUGCGUAGAUAUCGGGAGGAACACCAGUGGCGAAGGCGAUCUUCUGGACGGAUACUGACGCUGAGGCGCGAAAGCUAGGGGAGCAAACGGG
rnacentral:rRNA from 1 species